rnacentral:rRNA from 1 species
GCAGUAGCCGCGGGAAUACGGAGGAUCCAAGCGUUACUCGGAAUUACUGGGCGUAAAGCGUGCGUAGGUGGUGGUUUAAGUCCGUUGUGAAAGCCCUGGGCUCAACCUGGGAAUUGCAGUGGAUACUGGGUCACUAGAGUGUGGUAGAGGAUAGUGGAAUUUCCGGUGUAGCAGUGAAAUGCGUAGAGAUCGGAAGGAACAUCUGUGGCGAAGGCGACUAUCUGGGCCAACACUGACACUGAGGCACGAAAGCGUGGGGAGCAAACAGGAUUAGAUACCCCCGUAGUCCCUGUCUCUUAUAC